UUUUAUUUUUUGUUUUUAUUAUUAUUAAUAGUUAGCUGAUGUACCACCCGGAUUUGGUGCAUCCAGCACUUUUCAUGCUAGUCUAGUAGGGUACUUCUUAAUCACAGCAGAUCUCUGCAUAUUUAUGAAGCUCUGUUACAACACGCAAAAAUGCUCAAACCUCAGUUAUAAUGUUAGCAUUUAUCUGUGUUAUAUGCAACAGUUUACAAGAUUUAAUUUUUAUAAAAUAUUCAAUGCACUCAUGAAAUGACCCUUCAAUACUUUAAAGAUGCUGUGAUGUUUUUGCUUUUUCCACGAGGCUUAUUUUCCUGAAACUGUGCUGAAUGUCAGGAUUUUACAUUUAAUAAAGCAUCUUGUUAAACAAAG